GAAUGUGACAACCGGUAAUUAACGGCUUCGAAUUACGCGAUUAACAAACGAUUAAGGCGAUAAUAAAUAAUUUUUAAGACGCGAAUUAACUUAAUUAGGCUAUUGGAAUGCCUAGAGACACUUAUCCGACGUUACAGCGCGCGUAUGGUGAUUUUGGGAAAUUCUGCUGAAUGAUGAGCGAUAACGAACUGAUACCGCACAAAAUACUGGCAACGCCGACAAAUACAAAGUUUAUAUGUAUAACUUAUACAUGUGAAUGUGAUUUUGCGGAAAUAACACGCUUUCAAAUGCCACAAAACGCAAACGUGAACGAAAAAUGCGGAAACAAUAACGCACCGACAAUCAACAACGAAACGGAAGCACCUGACUUGAGUUAUGUGUCGACAUUAAUAUAUUAUGAUAUAUUUGGCUUCACUUUCGAAUUAUAUUAUCCGUAGUUGAAAACGGAUCGAAAAACGGGUUAGAAUCGACGACCGAAGGGUUACUCCACCUACACCACAACUGGCAUAGAUCGUUAAUCCUGCAUAAUCGCUCGUAAAUCAUGACGCGCGUUUAACAACUAUAAGGGAAUUAUGGUAACCAAUUCAACAAUUGUUGAAGUUCGUGAUAAUGGCCCAUUAAGGAAUAAAGACAAGCUGAAUUUUGGGACGAAAUUCUUGCAACAAGGGGAGAAUGUGACAACCCGCAAAUUUAGGCUAACAUUCGUACGCGCCCAAAUCUCGCACACAUCGUGAUCUUAUGCUUUAGACUUAAAUUUUUAUUAAUUUAGUCAUCAUAUGCAUAGCAACGUCCAUUUGCCUCAGACUUCACAAUUAGUGUUUUUUUUUUUUAGAAAUUACUAGCUCAAACACGAGUUAUCCCGAAUAUAUAUUUGUUAUUAAUUGAAGUUUUGGUCACAUAAAUUGUAAUUUGUAUUUGCAAUAUGCGGUUAGUGUGGCACGAAUACAAACGUAUAAAAUAUAUUUUUAUACACCUAACACAUUCCCAUUAUUUAUGACGAUUCUAUUUUAUAUUUUUUUUAACGAGUAACUAGUGGGUAGUUUACACCCUUGACGAAACUUACCGAACACUUAACAUCAUGUCAACCAACCACCACACCAUACCCCCCCCCCCAGCCACCUACGAGCACUCCAACCUCUCCCCAUGAUGUGGUGACUUCUUUGAAUGACAUUAUCCAUACCCAUGAGAUUUUGAUAUAAUUACCAUGGAUUCUUAUUUGACUUCAACUAUCACAUAUCAUUCAUUUUCUAAAAAGAAAAAAAAAGAAAAGUGGAGUGAAAUAUUAUAGUACUUGUGGUUAUCCAUUUUCAUACGAAAAGGACAUGUGUGCUUCAAUUAAAUAUCACUAAACUAGCUUUCAUCAAAAAUAGACAUCAGGCUAUACACUAGGAAAAAGCAAACUACUUGCCCCUACCCUUUUUAAAUCGGUCUUGACUCAACCUAUUAUGCCACUUUCUAGUUCAAAAACCCAAGUAAUCUAGUUCAGUUAUAGAUCUGGUUAAACCUCCUCAGACCCCAUGCUUUCAAUUUAGAUGUUCUACACUCACACUCAUAUACUUUAUAUUUAAUACUUGGUUUAUUAACAUAUUCAUACAACCCAUUCAAGACUGGCAAACUCACAACUUCCAACAGUCUAACACACAUCCACACAUCAGAUUCUCUCUCUCUCGGCUCAAGAUUGGGCUGAAACCAAGCCCUCACACACACAACAUUCAAAGUUCAAGUAUUUUUCUAGUGAUCCCAAGCCUUGGUUUUUGAUGAUUCAAGCUCAAGACUUCUUUUAUUCUGAAUUGCUACCUUCUCCUUGCUUUCUUUAAGAAUGCUUUAAGAUGCAUGCUAACAAGUUCACAUUCUUGGAAACAACAUCACGGAAUCACGCUAAGCUAGCAUUGCACAGGAAUGUCCAGGUUGCAUUUUCAAAACUAUGGAACGGUUGGAAUAGGAGAACCCAUGGGAAUACGAGUACUUAGCGGCGUUCAUUUUCUAGAAGUCUUAGCUUAUUUGCCUCCGCUGUGCAAUGAAGAUACCGGUCCAGUCACGCCAGCUCUGAUUUUUCGGGGUGUGACAGGUGUGACAGGAACCGUUACUGUGGGGUGACAGGACCCAAAGUAAUAUGACCACGAGCGCAAGGGAAUGUCCCCAGUCGCAUACUGUGUUGAAUAAUUGAUAGAAAUAUAAACUGUAAUUCCCCUUAAUACUGUAAAGUUAUAACAAUGAGCCAUUUACAAAAAGGAAUGUACUUGCCAGUAUUUCUUGCUGAUAAAAUGUUUUUAAAACGCGCUUCAGGUAACUUGAGGUGAAGCUGUUAGAAGCCAGGUAUGGAACACUGAAGGCUUAAAUGAAGUGGCUAUAAGUUACCUAAAUAAAAGAAGAAGUUUAUGUUUUCAGCAAGGAGGGUUUAUCCCUAUCAACAUAUUAUAAAUGAAAUAUGGGUUUUUAGCCCAUUUGUUUAAUAUAAAAGUUUGGUGUUUUACAAACUCUAAAAUCAUUUCCUAAAUACGAUCCUGGUGUUUUAAUUCCGCUGCAAUUUUAAUAAACACCGAUACCACCGGUUUAGGUUCGCGUGGCCCGCUCCCAUGGUGGGGUCUGCUGUAACACCCCGCGUUUUGAAGUCAAAGUACAAGUCAAAGUCAAAGGAAGAAAAGAUUUCUAAUUGCGAUCUGUCACUCCUUGCUUAAUUAUUGACUGUACUCUUUGACUUUGUAAUCG